ACAACUAUCAUUUCCAAAAAUCUUCUCAAAUCGUUGACCAAAUUUAAUAGGCAUUCCUUUCUGCAUCUUUAACUAACAAAUCAAUUUAGAUCAUUUCCAAACCAAUGAAAUUAAUCCCAAUAUUAAGCCAACCUUGGUCAUCCUUUCCUUGCCCUCAUUCUUGAUCUUUGUCCAAUUCAAAAACAAUCCACCGACUCACCUCCGGAAGAAAACUCCGACGAGACUAUAGCACGGCGACUAGAUGGUUCUUUGAAGCGGGGUUUAGCGUUAGUCGCCACGUUCGAGUCGAAGCCAUUUAAAUUUCACAGUCGAUCCUAUUCAGCCUCUGUUUGAGCUGCGGCGACCGCCGACGCACAACCGUAAGACAACUCCAGAACUCGAUACCGCACCGCUCAACUUUGCUUGGGCAUCACACGGUUUUUGUGGUUAACUGUGGGCGACCUAGAUUGCUUUGCUAGUUCACUUAUCAGAAAAAAAGGUAAUCGGGGGAAUGUUGGGAACUAGCGAUGAUGAGAGUUAAUGCAAUUCAAGAAUAAAAGACUUUUCUUUAUUUCAGUAUUUAAAUUAACUAAGACUUUAGGAUUUCUUGGUUUGAUUCAAGACUUUUGGUUGCCUUUUGGAUCCCCUAUUUUUCCUUGUUAAAUAGAUUUUGAUUGGUUUUGAUAUCUGUAAUACUGACACGUCAGCCUUAUUCGGGUUGGGGUGUUACACAACUAAUCCUAAUAUAUGAUUAAAAAACUAGAUUAUCAUAAUACAUAAUGUGUUAACUAGGAUUCGAGAGACAACCUUUGUAUGCUACUAUAUUUGCAACUGAGAGGCCUUGACUAUCAUUGCAAGCAAAGAGAGAAACUUCACCAUAGAAAUCCAAAAUAUUGUGCCUACAUGGCUCACCACUCAUCAGGUGAGCGCAAAGAUGGAUUCAACAAACCUUUAUUGGCACUGAAACAGAACAUGAAGAUCAAUCAGCACAAGUCAACCGUAGAGACCCUGAGCGCCUAGGCGCGCUUUUUAAAACCAAGCCCAUGAUCACACAUUUACACCACAAAAACAAUCACACUAUACACUGACUCACCCAGGACAUAUUAUACCUAACAAAUAAGUAAGUAGGUGCACCUCUAUGCUUUCACAUCUUGGUACUUCAACUUCUUAGUUUUGAAAAACUAAAAUCCUAAAAAAGUUAAUCGAAUAUUACUUUGGGGCUAGCCUCUUAAUGGGUCAGAAUUAAAGAGUGUUUGGUUUGCUUAGUGAACACAUCUGAAUGAUUCAGUAUUUGAUUUUGAAGAUAUCGAAGUUGAGCUAAAUACCCACGCACGUCACACGUUCCUCUCAUCUGCUCCUCUUCUGGCGAUCACGCAAACCACCACCAUCCAAGCACAUCAAGACUUGGACGAUUACAAGCUCACAACCAGAAAUGGACAAAAGAGAAGUAGGAUUAGUUGGAAACAAGAGGGACUUCAGAAAACAUUUCUUGAAGCAUGUGUUCAUGAAAUAACAAUCCAUGGACGUGAAGGAAGCAGCCUUAAACAAGUUUCAUGGAAGAGUGUAGCCGAAAAACUGAAAACAGAACACAAUUUCAUAGCGGAUCAAAAACAGAUGAAGAAUCGUUACUGGCUCAGCACUUACUCAUUCAGAAAUUGCCAAAUAGCCCCUAAGUCCAUUUAAACCCCCUUGUAAAUAAUCUAUUACCCAAAAUAACCCAUGGUGUAAUAUUUAAAGUCCACCCGAUUAUUUACAAGGGGGUUUAAAUGGACUUAGGGGCUGUUUGGCAAUUUCUGAAUGAGUAAGUGCUGAGCCAGUAAGAGGUCUGGACCACUAAGUGCUGAACCAGUAAGAGGUCUGAAUCAUUAAGAGUCAAUAUAAUGUUUAACCAUUCAGAGACAAAUGUCUGACCAAUUCAGAUAAGAGGUCUUAACCAUUCAGACUCAGUAUAAUGCUUAACCAUUCAGAUACAAAUGUACGAAUCAUUCAGACAUUUACUCGCGAAACAAACGGUCAAGAUGGGCUGAAAGAAAAAGGGUUCAUAUGGACUUUAAAUAAUUAAAUAUUACACCAUCAAUUAGGAUUCCAAUACAUUCUCCUGCCCUGCUAGAUCAUAAAACACUCAACUGAGCUCACAUAAUUAUAAUAUUCAUAUGCAGGACCUAGGGUUUCAACGGUUCUAACAACUACAAACACUCAAAUAACCAAAUUCAGGAAGAGGCUUUUGAAGAAUCUUGAUCAUGCAAUUAGCCGGCAAUCCAAUCCGUCGAACUCAUUACAACGUUCUGAAUGUAAAAGAAGACGCAACCCAAGAAGAAAUCCGUACAAGCUACAAAUCCGCUCUCCUCAUUUCCCAUCCAGAUAAGCUACAGAAAACAUCCGAGACCACAAAUUCUGAAUCAAAAUUUCUGGAAAUCCAAACGGCUUGGGAAAUCCUAGGAAACGUAAAAUCACGAGCAUUAUAUGACACGGAGCUUCGGAUGUCAAGACAAGAUGAUGAUGCCGUUGCAGAUGAAAUCGUGGUAGAUGAUCUGAUGGUGGAAACUGGCGGCGAUGUGGUGGAGCUUUUUUAUCAGUGUCGGUGUGGUGAUUACUUCUCACUCGACUCUUCGGAAUUGGGAGAGAUGGGGUUUGAAUUAUUGAUGAAAGGAGACAAGGUUUCCUUACAAACGCAUAAUACUGCUGACAUGGCAUCGAUUGUGCUGCCUUGUGGUUCAUGUUCUUUGAAAAUCCGUUUAAUGAUUAGUAAAGAUUAGCGCUCCUAAACCUUAAAUCUUAAAAUUAAGCGGGGAUUUUGAGAAGGUAUUCAUGUUCUUGAUUAAUUUUUUGGCAAGAUAGAUGUAUAACUAACUGAUUUGAUUGAAUGUCACCAUUAUUGCAACGAAA